rnacentral:rRNA from 1 species
AUCGCGAUGCAUCUAGAUUAGACUUUGAUCCUGGCUCAGGACGAACGCUGGCGGCGUGCUUAACACAUGCAAGUCGAGCGGUAAGGCCCCUUCGGGGGUGCACGAGCGGCGAAAGGGUGAGUAAUCGGGAGCAAUCUUGCCUUAGUGGGGAAACUCACUCAAAGGCGGUAAUACCACCUAUACAGAAUCUGGGGAUAACGCAUGAAAGAACAUAUUAGCUAAAUGUCAGCAAUUGGUCAGUAACUGUUAAAAGGCCGCGUUGGUGGUUUUAUCCAUAGGCUCCGCCCCCCUGACGAGAUCACAAAAAUCCACCCCUCUCCCCCUCCUGCCCCCCCCCCCCCUGACUUUUUUUUUAACAAACAACACCCA